rnacentral:rRNA from 1 species
GGGCCCGCACAAGCAGUGGAGUAUGUGGUUUAAUUCGAAGCAACGCGAAAAACCUUACCAGGUCUUGACAUCGAGUGAAGUAUUAAGAGAUUAAUACGUCUUUCGGGACACGAAGACAGGUGGUGCAUGGUUGUCGUCAGCUCGUGUCGUGAGAUGUUGGGUUAAGUCCCGCAACGAGCGCAACCCUUAUCAUUAGUUGCUACGCAAGAGCACUCUAAUGAGACUGCCGUUGACAAAACGGAGGAAGGUGGGGAUGACGUCAAAUCAUCAUGCCCCUUAUGACCUGGGCUACACACGUACUACAAUGGCAAUUAACAGAGGGAAGCAAAUCAGCGAUGGUAAGCAAAUCUCAAAAAAUUGUCUCAGUUCGGAUUGCAGGCUGCAACUCGCCUGCAUGAAGUCGGAAUUGCUAGUAAUCGCGAAUCAGCAUGUCGCGGUGAAUACGUUCCCGGGCCUU